AUGAACGCUGGCGGCGUGCCUAAUACCUGCAAGUCGAGCGAACAGACGAGGAGCUUGCUCCUCUGACGUUAGCGGCGGACGGGUGAGUAACACGUGGAUAACCUACCUAUAAGACUGGGAUAACUUCGGGAAACCGGAGCUAAUACCGGAUAAUAUAUUGAACCGCAUGGUUCAAUAGUGAAAGACGGUUUUGCUGUCACUUAUAGAUGGAUCCGCGCCGCAUUAGCUAGUUGGUAAGGUAACGGCUUACCAAGGCAACGAUGCGUAGUCGACCUGAGAGGGGGAUCGGCCACACUGGAACUGAGACACGGUCCAGACUCCUACGGGAGGCAGCAGUAGGGAAUCUUCCGCAAUGGGCGAAAGCCUGACGGAGCAACGCCGCGUGAGUGAUGAAGGUCUUCGGAUCGUAAAACUCUGUUAUUAGGGAAGAACAAAUGUGUAAGUAACUAUGCACGUCUUGACGGUACCUAAUCAGAAAGCCACGGCUAACUACGUG
rnacentral:rRNA from 1 species